GACGAACGCUGGCGGCGCGCCUAACACAUGCAAGUCGAACGAGCGAGAGAGAGCUUGCUUUCUCGAGCGAGUGGCGAACGGGUGAGUAACGCGUGAGGAACCUGCCUCAAAGAGGGGGACAACAGUUGGAAACGACUGCUAAUACCGCAUAAGCCCACGGUGCCGCAUGGCACAGAGGGAAAAGGAGCAAUCCGCUUUGAGAUGGCCUCGCGUCCGAUUAGCUAGUUGGUGAGGUAAUGGCCCACCAAGGCGACGAUCGGUAGCCGGACUGAGAGGUUGAACGGCCACAUUGGGACUGAGACACGGCCCAGACUCCUACGGGAGGCAGCAGUGGGGAAUAUUGCACAAUGGGGGAAACCCUGAUGCAGCGACGCCGCGUGGAGGAAGAAGGUCUUCGGAUUGUAAACUCCUGUUGUUGGGGAAGAUAAUGACGGUACCCAACAAGGAAGUCACGGCUAACUACGUG
rnacentral:rRNA from 1 species